GAUGAACGCUGGCGGUCUGCUUAACACAUGCAAGUCGAACGAACUCUUCGGAGUGAGUGGCGGACGGGUGAGUAACGCGUGAGAAUCUGGCUGUGGGUCGGGGACAACCACUGGAAACGGUGGCUAAUACCGGAUGACGACCGGAAAAGGUAAAAGUAUUUUAUUGCCCACAGAUGAGCUCGCGUCUGAUUAGCUAGUUGGUAAGGUAAAAGCGUACCAAGGCGACGAUCAGUAGCUGGUCUGAGAGGAUGAGCAGCCACAC
rnacentral:rRNA from 1 species